AGUGAACGCUGGCGGUAGGCCUAACACAUGCAAGUCGAACGGCAGCACAGUAAGAGCUUGCUAUUACGGGUGACGAGUGGCGGACGGGUGAGGAAUACAUCGGAAUCUACUUUUUCGUGGGGGAUAACGUAGGGAAACUUACGCUAAUACCGCAUACGACCUACGGGUGAAAGCAGGGGAUCUUCGGACCUUGCGCGAUUGAAUGAGCCGAUGUCGGAUUAGCUAGUUGGCGGGGUAAGGGCCCACCAAGGCGACGAUCCGGAGCUGGUCUGAGAGGGCGAAGGGACACAUUGGGACGGAGAGACGGACCACAGUCCUGCGGGAGGCAGUAGGGGGGAAUAUUGCAUAAUGGACGGAAGUCUGAUGGAGGAAAGCCGCGUGCGGGAUGACGGCCUUCGGGUUGUAAACCGCUUUCAAUUGAGACGACGCUUGUUGUGACGGUAGCAGUAGAAGAAGCACCGGCUAAAUAGGUG
rnacentral:rRNA from 1 species